UGAAGAAGCUGAGCUCCCCAGGCUGAAGGAAGAGAAGCCUGGCCUUACCCACAAUCAGUAUAAGGACAUGAUAUGGAAGCUAUGGAAGAAGUCUCCUGACAACCCUCUUAAUCAGGUUGCAGCCGAGUGAGUGGAUCCAUGUCCUUCAACAUGGGGCAGGCGGUCGUUCCCUAGAUUUUAAGCCUGUUUACUAAAGUUUGGUCAAAGUUUGUAAUCUGACCAAUUCUUCUUCAGUUCAGUUGUAUCCUGGAAUAUUUGGUUUGCUACUAAUGGGUCUUUCGUCUGUCUGUUGCAUAUUAUGGCACAGGACUCUCGUAAAUGCAUAUAAAUAGUUUUGGGUCCAGUGUUGUACAAUAAGAAUCAAUAUUAUGACCUUGGUUUCUGAUAUUUUCAUUUAG
rnacentral:misc_RNA from 1 species